rnacentral:lncRNA from 1 species
AGGCGGGAGGAGGCGGGCGGAGGAGGCCGAAGGGCUGGAGGAGGGGGCCACAGCCGCGGACUUUCUCCCUCCCCCUCGUGCGUCGGCGGGAUUGUUGGGGCGCUGGGUCCCGGCCCCCGGAUUGUGAUGUUUCAGGUGGCGGUGGGCCGGGGGACGCAGCCCGGGCCCCAGGACCUGGUCCCCAGGUCUGGUCCUGCCCCCAGCACCUCGCUCCCGUCGCGGAGCAGGGCUGCCUCUUCCUCCUGCAGCCAGGCAUCAUCCUUAAUUUGCCCCAUCUGCUAGCCACCUCCCUGUUUUUAGACUCCAGUCUAUUUUCUGUAAUUGCUGUGGGCCAAAGUUGCACAGAAAAUCAUUCUCUUCACGAAGCUAAGAGCAGAGACAGCUUCCUGUCCAUCAGGAAGUGGGAGGCAGAGAGCCUGGCUGAGACCUUGUGCUGUGGGCUUGAGCCACUGGACAGGCCACUCUGUGUGACACCAUGAUGACUGACAGAGCCUCCUGGGGUGGAGGCCACAUCGCACAGGCAGUGGCAGCUCCUGGGCUGGGAGGAUGACCAUCGCCACUGAUUGAGCACCAAGUGUGUGCCAGGUGCGGUCUGGAAAGAAUUUCAGGUGGUUUUCAGAGGAGCAUGGAGGCCAGCCCUGAUCACGAGGGUGGACCCCAACAUGGAUUCACUGAACUCUGGGGCACAGAGGCUCCCAUCAGCCCUGGCUCCCACUUGAUUCAGUAACAGCUGCUGCAGGUCCUGGCCACGCAGUGCUACAGUUUGGAUGUGUUUAGACCCCAAGCGUUCACGUAUUGGAAGUUGGGUCCCCCAAGUGGCAACUGGGGAGACUGUGGGACCCCUGAAAGGUGUUUGGGACAUCUUGGGUCUGCUGGGGAUGUUCCCCUUGGAAGAGAGUAAAGUCGUUUUCAGAGGUCUCUGGUUGUCCUUGGAAGAGUGGAUUGGUAUAUAAAGAUCAAACCUCACUGCUUCUGCUUUCUGGGUUCCUGGCUCCCACGAGAUGUGUCUCAUCCCACGUGUCCCCACUAGGAUGCCAGCCACUGUGAAUGUAGUGUGGCCAGGGGGCCUUUGCCAGAGCUGGUGCUGUGCUGUUUGGACUUUAAACCUCAAAAACUGUGAGCUAAAUAAGCCUCUUUUCUUUACAAGUUACCCAGCUUCUGAUGCUUACUUAUAGUAACAGAAAGUAGACUAAUACAUCAGGUCACCUCCAGGUUUUUGCUUGAUGUGUUCCCCUUGAAUGCUAUGCCCUGAUUCCUCCUCUCACCUUUGCCUAGUUUAUUCCUUCUCUAUCACAACCACCUCAGGAGAACUUCUCAGACACCCCGGGCCAGCCGAAUGCCUCCCGGUACCACUUCCAUGGUGUUAGAUACAAUCUCACCCUGGGGCCCCGUGUCCGCAUUGCACAUUGUGCAUACUUGAUGGUUCCUCCAUAAACGGAGAAGGCUGUGAAAACAAGGCUGUGUCUUUCACACGUCUCCAUUUGUGUACUUGGUGUACUAGCCUGGCACAUAGACGCCUCCAUGAUGAACAAAUGCAUGAAUGAAUGACUCUAAUUCUAGGCCUGAACUUAGGAAGUGGGGGCCAAAUGAGCACCAGUUGAUCCUCAUGUCCUAGGGCCAAGUAAACUGGGAAGUGGUCAAGCCAUGUUUGCAGUGGGAAGGCAAAUGCCAACCCCCAUGUCCCCUUCCUGGUGUGCACAGCCUGCGAGGGAGGGGUGUCUGACUCCAAGGGACUCGGGAAUUUGGCCUCUUUGUGGACUAACAGUGCUCUUCUUUUACGUUUUUUUGGGGAAGGAAAAGUACGCUGCCCGAAUCCUUGGCUUCAUGGCGGUUUCCAGACACCAUGCUUACAAAGUUGCUGGGUUCUUCUAGAAUCCUUGACCUUGUUUAAAUCUGAUUUCGGCUGAGGGAGGGACUUGGAGUCAGAGACAGGACGGAACCUCUUUGAAACUCCUGGCCCCAGGGCUCUUCUGCCUUUGUGUACAGGACUGAGUUUGGGCAGGAAGCCCGGAUAGAGGUUUACAUCUCUGCCCCCAGACCACUGUAGGAACUAAUAGAAACUACAGAAGCGAACCCCAGAGUUCCCUCCCGGUGUCUGUCUGGACAGAAGUGUGAUGGGCUGAGACAGAGGCGUUGCCUCUCCACGCAGCCGUAACCCCAAGGCCAGGCAGGCAGGGGUCAGAUCUGCCAAGUCAGCUGUCCAGGAUGGGAGCGUAAGGCCACCUGGCUUUGCCCUGAAGUUCUCACUACCGACUCUGCACCCAGACUGGUGCUUAGCUGUGGAAUUAGUCAUAUUAGGCACGUGACCCCGUGGGCCAUGAGAAUGGUAGAUGCUGAGACACAAGACUCCAAGAGCCAGCACAAGGAUGGAGGCUUGUGACACAGCGCGGUGGACAGGAGUGGAGGGGCCAGUCCUGCUUUGGCUCCUUUGAGCCGUGCGGCCUCAGCUGUAUUCCUAACCUCAUUGCUGCCAUGGUACAGUGGGGUCUCCAGACUCCACCUGGUUGGAUUGUGUGAGGACAGAGACCAGCAUAUGGAGAACCCAGGCUUUGGCCAAAGCCAGAUCAUUUCCACAGCACGAGAUGAACCACAUUUGGAAGAAGAACUGCUCCUGAACUUGGAGAACUAAAAACAAAACAAAAAAAUUUCUAAGAGUCUUAAAGGCACAGCAAGUUUGUAAAUUGGGUGACACCUCCGCCCUCAAGGAAGCCACAGUUAUUCAUGAGUAGCAGACCUCGACUUCAGCACACAUGGAAAUGGUUUGCAUGCCGACAUCGCCGGCCAGGUGGGUGACACCAGAUGGUCACCGUGACCAACAGCAGGAGCACACAGCCUGGAUCACCCAUCUUGAAGACACCCCAGGAACCCAUAAAUAAACCAGCUUUGGAU